AAGGUCAAUACAAAGACUCCGGAGACCGAGGCUCCUGCCUCUCAGUCUGGGGCUGCUGCCGAAGCCAAGGCGAGGGCUGAGAUUAGAGCUCAGAUGGGCAUUGGGCUUGGCUCUGAGAAUGCUGCUGGGCCCUGCAACUGGGAUGAAGCUGAUAUUGGACCCUGGGCAAAGGCCCGGAUCCAGGCGGGAGCUGAAACUAAAGCCAAAGCCCAAGAAAGUAGUGGUGCCAGUGCUGGUACUGGUGCCGGUGCCAGUGCCAGUGCUGGUACCAGUGUCAGUACCAGUGGCACUGCUGGUUCUGGUGCUAAUGCUGGGGCCAGUGGGGGCUUCAGUACCAACCCCAGUCUGACUGCCAGUCUCACGUUUGGGCUCUUCGCUGGCCUUAGUGGAGCUGGGGCCAGUAACAGUAGCAGCUCUGGUGCCUGUGGUUUCUCCUACAAGUGAGAUACAGAUUGCUAAUCACAGCGUCUUCUUCUCAAGCCAGGGUGCACUCUCAGACACUUAUUCAAUGCAGCACUCUAGGCAACCGCUAUCAAUCAAUUGAAGUCGACACUCUAUAUUAAAUCUAUUUGCCAUUUCUGAG
rnacentral:lncRNA from 1 species